rnacentral:rRNA from 1 species
GAUGAACGCUGGCGGCGUGCUUAACACAUGCAAGUCGAACGAGGAUAUCAUUUUGGAUUGAGGCAGCUUGCUGUUGAUUGACAGGUUGAUGACCGAGUGGCGGACGGGUGAGUAACGCGUGGGUAACCUGCCUUGUACUGGGGGAUCACAGUUAGAAAUGACUGCUAAUACCGCAUAAGACCGUGGUAUCGUAUGAUACAGUGGGAAAAACUACGGUGGUACAUGAUGGACCCGCGUUGGAUUAGCUAGCAGGUGAGGUAACGGCCCACCAAGGCUUCGAUCCAUAGCCGGCCUGAGAGGGCGACCGGCCACAUUGGGACUGAGACACGGCCCAAACUCCUACGGGAGGCAGCAGUGGGGAAUAUUGCACAAUGGGCGAAAGACUGAUGCAGCGACGCCGCGUGAACGAAGAAGUAUCUCGGUAUGUAAAGUUCUAUCAGCAGGGAAGAAAAUGACGGUACCUGACUAAGAAGCCCCGGCUAAUUACGUGCCAGCCGCCGCCGUAA